UCGUUGUGGUUGUUCUUGGCUCCGAUCGAUAUUUAAUUCCAACUGGAACAAGGCAAAGGACGACAGCUUGAGUUUGAACGAGCCCAGCUGCUGGGCAAAUGUCCAGCACUUUACAGGCUGGAAAAACUGAAAGAAAACAAAGGGUGAUAGAUGGGUGCAUGAAAUCGCACGAAAAACAUUUCCGUAACUAGGAAAAAAAAAGUAUCAAGGAUAUAACUAUAACGUGUGUUUUUUGGCGUGCAGUGCUUUUUACGGCCUUCCGGCUCCCUUUGACAUUUCAUUCCACUGAUGUAUCAAGCAGGCGAUGGCGUGUACACUACAUACACUUACUAUAUACGUACCACCCUUGCACUCAUGGCUAGAUUAUUAUUCCACGCCAUGCACGACAAGUUUGUCCCGCCAUCCCAAUCCAAUGUUGAAGUAGCACAGCCAAAAAUAAGAAACAACAGUGCACAAUGUCGAGACUUCGUGUUUGGCCAACAUUUUGCAACAUUGAUGAUUGUUUUCAUCUAAAUUUCACGAUAGACUGUCGUCACAUUCAGAUUUCUAUGCCAUAUGUAAAUAAAUCGUAAAAAUCGAA